UACGGAGGGUGCAAGCGUUGCUCGGAAUUACUGGGCGUAAAGCGUGCGCAGGCGGUUUUGUAAGUCUGUCGUGAAAUCCCCGGGCUCAACCUGGGAAUUGCGAUGGAGACUGCAAGGCUAGAAUCUGGCAGAGGGGGGUAGAAUUCCACGUGUAGCAGUGAAAUGCGUAGAGAUGUGGAGGAACACCGAUGGCGAAGGCAGCCCCCUGGGUCAAGAUUGACGCUCAUGCACGAAAGCGUGGGGAGCAAACAGG
rnacentral:rRNA from 1 species